rnacentral:rRNA from 1 species
AUUGAACGCUGGCGGCAGGCCUAACACAUGCAAGUCGAACGGUAACAGGAAGCAGCUUGCUGCUUCGCUGACGAGUGGCGGACGGGUGAGUAAUGUCUGGGAAGCUGCCUGAUGGAGGGGGAUAACUACUGGAAACGGUAGCUAAUACCGCAUAAUGUCGCAAGACCAAAGAGGGGGACCUUCGGGCCUCUUGCCAUCGGAUGUGCCCAGAUGGGAUUAGCUUGUUGGUGGGGUAACGGCUCACCAAGGCGACGAUCCCUAGCUGGUCUGAGAGGAUGACCAGCCACACUGGAACUGAGACACGGUCCAGACGCCUACGGGAGGCAGCAGUGGGGAAUAUUGCACAAUGGGCGCAAGCCUGAUGCAGCCAUGCCGCGUGUAUGAAGAAGGCCUUCGGGUUGUAAAGUACUUUCAGCGGGGAGGAAGGGAGUAAAGUUAAUACCUUGGCUCAUUGACGUUACCCGCAGAAGAAGCACCGGCUAACUCCGUG